AGUGAACGCUGGCGGUAGGCCUAACACAUGCAAGUCGAACGGCAGCACAGGAGAGCUUGCUCUCUGGGUGGCGAGUGGCGGACGGGUGAGGAAUACAUCGGAAUCUACUCUGUCGUGGGGGAUAACGUAGGGAAACUUACGCUAAUACCGCAUACGACCUACGGGUGAAAGCAGGGGACCUUCGGGCCUUGCGCGAUUGAAUGAGCCGAUGUCGGAUUAGCUAGUUGGCGGGGUAAAGGCCCACCAAGGCGACGAUCCGUAGCUGGUCUGAGAGGAUGAUCAGCCACACUGGAACUGAGACACGGUCCAGACUCCUACGGGAGGCAGCAGUGGGGAAUAUUGGACAAUGGGCGCAAGCCUGAUCCAGCCAUGCCGCGUGUGUGAAGAAGGCCUUCGGGUUGUAAACCGCUUUUGUCGGGGAAGAAAUACUCCGGGCUAAUACCCUGGAAGGAUGACGGUACCCGAAGAAUAAGCACCGGCUAACUACGUGCCAGCAGCCGCCGUAA
rnacentral:rRNA from 1 species